rnacentral:rRNA from 1 species
AGAAUUUGAUCUUGGUUCAGAUUGAAUGCUGACGGCGUGGAUGAGGCAUGCAAGUCGCACGAAUAUAUAAGCUUGCUUGUAUAUUAGUGGCGGAAGGGUUAGUAAUACAUGAACAACUUGCCUCUUACCUGGGGAUAACGGCUGGAAACGGCCGCUAAUACCGAAUGAGGUGUCUAGAGGAAUCUUUAGACAUCAAAGUGGGGGACCGGAGAAAUCUGGCCUCGCGGUAAGAGAGAGGUUCAUGGGAUAUCAGCUUGUUGGUGUGGUAACGGCACACCAAGGCUAAGACGUCUAGGCGGAUUGAGAGAUUGACCGCCAACAUUGGGACUGAGACACUGCCCAAACUCCUACGGGAGGCUGCAGUCGAGAAUCUUUCGCAAUGGACGAAAGUCUGACGAAGCGACGCCGUGUGAACGAAGAAGGCCUUAGGGUUGUAAAGUUCUUUCGCCUGAGAACAAGAGAUAGUCGCAAAUAGCGGCUAAAUUUGAGGGUACCAGGUAAAGAAGCACCGGCUAACUCCGUGCCAGCAGCUGCGGUAAUACGGAGGGUGCAAGCAUUAAUCGGAAUUAUUGGGCGUAAAGGGCGCGUAGGCGGAUGUGUAAGUCAGAUGUGAAAUUCCAAGGCUCAACCUUGGAGCUGCAUUUGAAACUACACAUCUAGAGGAUUGGCGGAGAAAAUGGAAUUCCACAUGUAGCGGUGAAAUGCGUGAUAUGUGGAAGAACACCGGUGGCGAAAGCGAUUUUCUAGCUUAUUCCUGACGCUGAGGCGCGAGAGCAAGGGGAGCAAACAGGAUUAGAUACCCUGGUAGUCCUUGCCGUAAACGAUGUAUACUUGAUGUAGUGGGUUUCAACCCCCGCUGUGUCGUAGCUAACGCGAUAAGUAUACCGCCUGAGGAGUACGCUCGCAAGGGUGAAACUCAAAAGAAUUGACGGGGACCCGCACAAGCAGUGGAGCAUGUGGUUUAAUUCGAUGCAACGCGCAGAACCUUACCCAGGCUCGAAGUGUAGUGGACAACUCCUGAAAGGGAGCUUCUCGUAAGAGUCACUAUAUAGGUGCUGCAUGGCUGUCGUCAGCUCGUGCCGUGAGGUGUUUGGUUAAGUCCAGCAACGAGCGCAACCCUUAUCAUUAGUUGCCAGCAUGUAAUGAUGGGAACUCUAAUGAGACUGCCUAGGUUAACUAGGAGGAAGGUGAGGAUGACGUCAAGUCCGCAUGGCCUUUAUGUCUGGGGCUACACAUGUGCUACAAUGGUCGGUACAGAAGGCAGCAAAGCCGCGAGGUGGAGCAAAUCCGUAAAGCCGAUCCCAGUUCGGAUUAUAGUCUGCAACUCGACUAUAUGAAGUUGGAAUUGCUAGUAAUGACGUAUCAGCUACGACGUCGUGAAUACGUUCCCGGGUCUUGUACACACCGCCCGUCACAUCAUGGAAGUUGGUUCUACCCGAAGCCGCUGACUCAACCGUAAGGAGAGAGGCGUCUAAGGUGGGGCCGAUGACUAGGAUGAAGUCGUAACAAGGUA